ACACAUUUGGGACCUUCUCAGGCUUCACCCUAUGCACCUCUUUUUGCUGAUCCUGAUUUGUAUUAUUUGUGCUAUAAUAACACUGUAAUUAUAUGUAUAGGACUUUCCUGAAUUCUCUGUCACUGUCAGUCUAUUAAAUGAUUGAGCAUGAAGAGAGAGUAGGAACCCCUGAGUAUUUAGCUUGUUGGUCAGAAGUGCUGGUGGCCUUGGAACUCAUAAGCUUGUGGCUAGUUUCUGAGGUGAGUGAGAGGUCUUGUGAAGGACUGUGCCCUCAGCCUGUGAAGUCUGCCUAACUCUGGCUAGUCCAUCGCAAGUCACUGCACACGUAUUAAUUCAAUCAGCUCUAUGGUAUGGAUCUGAGAACGCUGUCUGGGCUUGGUACCAAGAGCUGGUAUUUCACAGCAGCGACCGCCUCACAGACGAGCUGUGGGAAGCAGGAGGGAGACUCUCUCUUAGGGUGCCACUACUAUGGAGACACAGCUGGGCUGAACAAGAUUUGCUUCAAACGACAACAAGAGAGACAGAAAGUAUCUGGUUCAACCGCUGCCCGAGCAGGCAGGCACCAGAAGAGCUAGCAGCCAAUCCGGCCAUGCUCGAAGCCAGCUCUGCAGCUCAGCCAAUCAGUGACAUCAUUGGCACUGUGAAUACAAA
rnacentral:lncRNA from 1 species